CCUUGAGCCCCCGGCCCUUCCCGGACACCUCUGAAUACUCAGGGAGACCACCACAGCCCCCCCCCACUUCCGGACCACCCACGGUCACCCCCGCUGGGCAUUCUUGGCUACUUGGGGGACGCGGGUCACCUCGGCGGCGCCCCUACUGGCUUCUGGCUAUGGGUUACUUUUGGAAAGGUCCUCAAAUUUGCGAGACUCGUUCUUUCUCAGGUGGCAUUCCCGAGGCUCUGGGGACCCCCAACCAUUCCUGGGCUACGGGAAAGUCCCUAGAGUCUUCAGGAUCGGGGCAGCAUGACUACAAGUCCUUGAGGGCCACCUAGCUCUGUGCUGCGUGGAUGGUGGGUCGCCCACACACUGCACUGCACCCAGCGGCUCCAGAGUGCACCUCUGGAAUUGCUGGCACUAGAGUCCUUAGGACUCAAUCUACCCCGAUCUUGAGAGCCAGGAUAACCCUGUCAGUUCCAUGUCCUAUUCUAAGACUCUUAAUCCUAGGAUUGUUCCUCUCCGUGUGUCCCAUGGCUGUCUUUGGGCCUCCCAGACCUAGGACCUAGGGGUGUUUAACGUAUUUUAACGAUGUGAGGUCUUUAGCUCUGGGUACCAACUCCCUGCCUUUCUCUCAUACCUCUCCCUCUGGCUGGAAACCUCCAGCAUCCUUCACCUUACACACCCACAUCUAGGAUCUAGCCUACCCCGUUCCUGUUUUGGUAGUGCACCUCAGGGCCUUUGUUCUUCCUGGUUAAAGGCCAUAGUUACUCUGUCCCCGCUGAGCAUUCCCAGGUGUAUGGAUGCCAGUUUUGCAAGUUUGUGCUAUCCGGAGAAGUGUGUUUCAUGAAGAGGGAGGCAGGAAUCCCUCCUCACUGACUGGCCACCGCCUGCUCACACUUUCCAAUUGCCCUCCACCCCCAGCAGCUGCUCCACCUCUUCUCUUUAUCUCACAAGUUUGGGUGAAAACACACAGGACCAGAGUUCCUGCAUUUACUGGAGGUGGAGUGGGCCGGUCUCUUUUUUUUUUUUUUUUUUUUUUUGGUUGUCAGGGCCUGCAGACACUUUUACCCCGUCCCUUCUCCUAGUACUCUUGGUGACUGCUAGGUUUCCAUUUGUGCUGGAGAAGGGACAACCAAGUGGCCUUUGGCUGGCCCAAAGCCUAGUCCUGCUGGCCCCUCCCGCACUGGCUGGCAGCAUUCAGGAUGCAGGUGCCUUUACUGGUCCCUUGUCAAUGGCAUCUCCGGGAAGACUAGCAGCCCUCAGAGGGCAGAGCUAGUGCUGUGGAUGCAGCUGGCCAGCAGGGGGCAGUCAGGGUGCUGAUCAGCGUGCCUCACUGAAGGCGGGUGCUCUUCCCAAGGGCGUGGAGGUGCCCUGCUGCCCCCACACCUGAACCUUGAGCAAGCCCUCAGACUCUAUGGUCCCAGUCUUUCAGAGAUGGCUCGUAACUAAGAGAAACUGUGUCCCCUGUGCCACAGGCUAUUCUUCAGAACUGAAAGGCAGCCAAGAAACCAAGAACUGAAAGAGACACUGAGAGUAAGCUCCAUGCAUUUGGAGUGUUGGGGUUGUUGAUCCAACUAGCUUACUCCUGUCACUCUGUCACUUAUCUUCGUGGGAGGAGGGCAUGAAAGAAGUGUGGGACACUGGGUGUGUGGGGGGCGUGGAGGAACCACAGGGAAGGAGACCAGCUGCCUCUAGGAUAGGUUGGUGUCCAGCUGGACCCCUUCUAGACUCCGAGCCUGGAUCCUGAGUGACUUCCUUGGAGGGUUGAGAAUGGAGAAUGACUGGCCAAAGAAUUGGAAAGAAGCCUUGAGGGGCCCUCUCCUGCAGCCAUUAUGACAAAGGAGCAGGCACAGGAUGUGGACAGUAGGGCACAGCCUGGUACCUAGCUGACGCCUAGCUGAAUGUGUGUGGGGCAGCAUGGGCACAGUGCCCGGCAUCUGACCUGACCCUUCUCCCUCCUCCUCCUCACUCAUGAACUCAGCCCUGGGCCGUCAGGAAGAUGGGAUGGGAUUCUUUCCAGGAAACCUGCUCACCCAUGGUUGGGGAUGCUCUCAGAGGUUCACUUUGCCGGGAAAACCCAGGAAUGGAAAAAGAUGGGUGAGGGCUGCACCUGGGAGCAGCCUCAGUAAACUAGCCCCUUUAAAUGUGGUUCUCUCGGAUCUGGUUGUGCACAGCACAUUCUUGGCACAUGGAGUGUCUUGGAAAUGCACUGCUCCCUCCAUGCUCAAUGUGCAGCCACAGGGACAGAGAUGAGAGCCAGCACUUGGCAGCUGGCUGUACCUCUUGCCCGAAGCACCGCCUCUGUGAGCUUGGAUGAGAAAGGAGCAGACCAAGGGACUCUUUGCUGAGUGCUGUCUUUAUGAAGUUGCCUCUGCUGCUUGCCCCUGCCCUCUGUGGAUGUGGUCCACAGCAGAGCAUUUUGCUUUAUCAUGUCAGGUGCUUUUCAAAAUAAGAGCCCUGGGGGAGGGGCAUGGACUCUCAGAAAUGGCAUUAGAGCACAUCCCGAUAGGGAUGGGCUGAGGGAUUGCGGGACUCAAGCUGGUUCCCAGACAGUCCCUGUCACUGCAGCUCUGGGAACAUAUGUGAGUUUUCCUAGCAAAGUCUCGAUUCUUCCUGCUCCCAUGGAGAUAGGGAAGGGGGCUCUCUUGGAAGUUCAAACAGUGCCUCUCCAGCUGACGUUUAGCUGUGGCAACACAUUGUUAUGUGUGAGAUGAAUGCUUCGUGGAAACCGACCACGGUUGCCUCUUGAUACACCCGGAUUGGGCUACGCACACAAGGCCCUGGGUCUCCACACGGCCCUCGGAGGCAGUUAGGUUAUAUGAAGGCCACAGUGCUGAACUCCACCUGAGGGUGGCGGUUUCUUGUUAGCCUGGUAGGAGUGCUUUGGGGGAAUUGUGUACUUUAAGCACAGCCUCCCCACCCCCCCACUUCCCACAAGGCACUUGCAUUGCAAUUUUGACUCAUGGUUCGACUUGGACCUGAGCUUCCCAGAGCCGGGUCCCAUCUCUGUACCUCAGACUGACCAUUUACCUCCCUCCCGCCCGCCUCACCCUCUGCUGUGUCUCCCAGCAGUGGGGGUGAGUGUUCACAGCUAAUUCUGGUCAGAGAAAGCACACCAACCAGGCAUCUGGUUGGACUCCCUCCCUGUGUCAUUUUGUGUAAAUGCAGACAGCCCAAGCAUUGGAAGGUUGAAGGCAGGCAGUCUGCCUCAGUUUCUUCUGUAGAGGUUUCAUGGCCUCUGUCUUAGUUGUGUGGGAAUUCUGUCAUGACCCCUGUGCAGGUCAGAUUCCUUGAGGGCAGGUGCAUUUGUUUGCUCUAGCUUUGAGACAAAGGACCGUGAUAGCGUGGGCCAUGGACAGAAAACUCCUUUUGUCCCUUUGUUUGCACCUGGGAUAGUGUUAUUCCUUCCAAUUGGAACACCAGUUGGGGUAGGGCCACCUUGACAGACUCAUUAUAAUGGAAUCACUGUUAGAAGCCCUACUCCAGAUCCACUCAAGUUUGGAGGUCCCGAAUUAGGAUUUCAAUUUAUGAACCUUGGGGGAAGGGCUGACUCAAUUCAGCCCCCAAGAGCAGGGAGUAGGUCUCACUUGUCAUUCUCUGAGCGUAGCACCUGGAGCUCAGAGUCAUCUGGUGGGCGAGAUGAGAUGGGGGUAAACAGGCAGAUAGGUGGAGAGCAUCAUCAGGGAGGACAGCAUAGAAGAGGCGGCCUCAGGGCUGGCCCAGAGGAUAAGCAGGCGGAGCAGACGUGAGAGGGAGAAUGCUCUGGCAGGAGGGACAGCCUGCGUGAGGCCUGCGAGGUAGGAAUUGGAAGGUCCCAGGGCCACAUAGAGACAUUGAAUGCGCUGUGUAGAAGCAGAAGCCGAAGGAGAGAAGCUGGGAGGAGAGUGAAGUUGUCCCUGCUCCCCAGAUACGUGGCUGACGAGCCCGUGACGAUGUUGGGUUGGUGGAUAAUUAAGCUUUGGAGCCUGCUGGGCUGGGUGUGUCUCAGGCUCACCUUCUGGCCUUGGCUCCUAGGACAGAUGGAGAUGCUCCAGGCCCCUGUCUUCACCAAGGAAAGAUGGACUUGCAGCUUCGUAGGCUGGUUGUGCAAGGGUUAGAUUUUGAAAUGAAUGGAUCAGAGCAUGGUGUGCAGCUAGAAGUUAGCAUGACAGCCAGCCCGGGUGGGGCCGGAAAGGCCACAGGGGGAGAGCAGGGCUGAGGCUAGUGGGACUCUGUACUGUUCCGGCCGUGCCUGCACUGUGUUGGGGAGAGUGAGUCCAAAGGAGGUGCCCAGGUAAAGAUGAAUGGUGGGUGUCCUGUCAGCCUCUCACUCUUCGGUGCAGGGCUCUGAGGCCCCAGGCCAGUCUCCACCUACUGAGACCUUCUGAGGUCUGAAAGGAAUGGGCCCUCACCUGACUAACAGUCUUGCUUCCUACGGCUGUGUUUUUGUGGUGUCCCAGUGGAAGCAUCUCAGUGACUCCUGGGCAUUGCAAAUUCCUGAGUUCAAGGCUCUGGCGGGGGGCAGUGUCCCUUUGUUCUGGGGCUGGAGUCUGGCUUCCCAUGGAAGCUGAGGCUGACAGCCUGCAGACACUGAGCAUUUGUCUUUGUAGCCACUAUGAAGGUGUCCAGUGGCCACCCAAGUGAGACAGUGACCAAGGAUGCUGCGGCUGAUGUGGAAUGUCUGUCACAUGGGCUGUCAGGAGCUUGCCGCUGGUGUGCAAGCCUGUCAGGACCUUACGUCUAGUGUCUGGAUGAAGACUGAGGAGAGAGACAUAGACUCCUGUGCCGUGUGACAGGUGGCAGUCACAGAGCAUGUCUGUGGAGCAAACCACAGGUGCACACUCUAGGGCUUCCUCCUCUAUGCUGAGGGUACCCCAGGGUCCUGUGCUGAGGGUGUCCAGGGUCUUGUACUAAGGGUGCCCUGGCUUCUGUGUUAUGCAGAGCGGCAUUAUAUGGAGCGAUCACAGGUGCUGAGGGACCCUGCCAGAAUCUGUGUGUGAGCAUGACCAUUUGUAUCCUGUAUAACUUUCCUCCCAAUUGCGGGGGGGCUCUGGUAACACCAAGAGCCAUUCUUGAGGGCAGGGAGGCAUGCUGCAUUUUCCCUUGGGCCCAGGCUGACACUCAGAGACUGAGCCGGGGAAGAUGAAGAGGCACAGAUGGGGUUUGGGAAGGGAGGAAUGGGACAGCUCAUUUUAACUAUGGAGGAGCCUGAGGAGAAUUAAGUCAAUUGACCAGAUUAGUGAGCCAGGUGUGGGGAGCAACAGAGGCCUGGGUGGGAGGGGGCACUUGGGGCUGAAGGGGCUGCAGGCCUCCCCCACUCCACAGUGAAUGCCGCCUGAGUCAGGAGCUCUUUCAGGGAUCUCCUGGCUGCGGUUUGAGGGGGGACUCUUGGCUCUGGUGGCACCACCCACUUCCACUUUCCCAUUGGGCACCUUCUUUGGCUGGAGGUGGACAGCUGCCUUCCUUUGCAUUCUCCUCUAGGGUUAACAGGUGUAGUGUCACUGUGCAUUGAUGUUCUCCUGCACCCUGUGUCACCUCUGGGCACCUCAGGCCUGAUCUGUUCUUGUUGCUUCUCAGGAUUACUUACGGUUCCCAACUUCACUCACCCAGUACCUCCCAUGGACCCUAAGGUCCUGAUCUGCUUAGUUCUCUCCUGGGCAGUCCAGAGUCUGGAAGACCUGCCUGUGUGUGUGUGUGUGUGUGCCUGUGGUGUGUGUGUGUGUGUGUGUGUGUGUGUGUGUGUGUAGCAUCUAGGGUGGGUUCUUGCCUCCAGCUCUUCUGUGUAGGACAUGCAUGGCCAGUAAGGCCACAGGAGCUGUGUUUGGGAAGCUCUCAUGCUCUUCUAGAGCUACUGAGCUCCUAGAGUUCGAAUUGUUUGACAAGGGAUGAGAUGUCUGCUCCAGGCCUUGCUGAGGACUGUCAGCACUGGGUAGGAGGAGGCUGGGCAUGCAGAGUGUGAGCUGGUGUGAGCCACCGUGAGGUGGGACCCAUGGCAAGUGAUCCCAAGGGUGGAAGACGGAGGGUGUGGUCACUAGUUUGAGCCCCUGUGUGGUGGGACGCAUGCCUUUCUCUCAGUCUCUGACCCUGGGAACUCUGCCCUGUCCUCCAGGAUGUCCACUCUUCUCCCCACUAACCCUGGACUUUUAUUCCUCUCCACCUUUAGUCAGAAGCCCACUACUCCAGAGCCUGCCCCUGCUGAAAGUGUUUACCCAUGCACCCAUGAACCUAUGCACCCAUGCUUUCUUGGGUCUCGGUUUCCUCAUCUGUAACAUGAGUAGCAGUGCCGGGUGAUCUCCAAAUCACUACCAACUAUGGGCUCUGUGCAUACAUUUAAUUUAUUUACACUUUAUUUAUAGAUGUGGUGAGCAGGAUUGAAGAGAGGGAGGGCUUGCAAGGACCAGUGUUGGUACACACAGCUCCCUCUUCUCAAUGCUGCUGUAGGUGCAGGUCUUAAUGCCCCAGAGGUUCCAGUGUGGACUCCGGCAUCAGGCUCUGCCAGGCUCACCCCCGAUCCUGCUGUUCUACAUGGAAGCAGAUGAUUUGCUCCAACGUUGAGCUAGCCUCAAUUUGAGCACAGCACGGCUCUUGCGGACGCCAUUUCCUGACGCUCAUGGAUAAAUCGAGUUCAAAUGAAAGCAAGAAAAGAGCCAGGCCAAGUUCAGGAGUUCAAGAUUUCUUUUUGAGUUUGCUUGCCCCUGUGUAUUUUGUGAAGUAGCAGAAUAGCUACCGUUGCCGGGGCUCAGAGGAGAGGUGGCCUCCUCCAGUGAGGCUCGUUUCCUGCCUCUCUGCCUCUGGUGCAGUUUGACUUUAUCCCUGCAUUCUUCUGUUUGCAUAGAGUUCUGGAUUGUGAACAAUAAAAUGGAUAACCGCAGACCCUUA